rnacentral:rRNA from 1 species
GAUGAACGCUGGCGGCGUGCCUAAUACAUGCCAGUCGAGCGAACGGACGAGAAGCUUGCUUCUCUGACGUUAGCGGCGGACGGGUGAGUAACACGUGGAUAACCUACCUAUAAGACUGGGAUAACUUCGGGAAACCGGAGCUAAUACCGGAUAAUAUUUUGAACCGCAUGGUUCAAUAGUGAAAGACGGUUUUGCUGUCACUUAUAGAUGGAUCCGCGCUGCAUUAGCUAGUUGGUAAGGUAACGGCCUACCAAGGCAACGAUGCAUAGCCGACCUGAGAGGGUGAUCGGCCACACUGGAACUGAGACACGGUCCAGACUCCUACGGGAGGCAGCAGUAGGGAAUCUUCCGCAAUGGGCGAAAGCCUGACGGAGCAACGCCGCGUGAGUGAUGAAGGUCUUCGGAUCGUAAAACUCUGUUAUUAGGGAAGAACAAAUGUGUAAGUAACUGUGCACGUCUUGACGGUACCUAAUCAGAAAGCCACGGCUAACUACGUG